ensembl:snRNA U6 U6 spliceosomal RNA
GUCUUUGGCAGCACAUAUUCUGAAAUUGGAACUAUAGAAAGAAGAUUAGCAUGGCCCCUGCACAAAGGAUGGCAUGCAAAUUUGCAAAGUAGUCCAUAUUUUU